UACGUAGGGGGCAAGCGUUGUCCGGAUUUAUUGGGCGUAAAGAGCGUGUAGGCGGCCUGACAGGUCUGCUGUGAAAACUCGAGGCUCAACCUCGAGAUGUCGGCGGAAACCGUCUGGCUAGAGUCCGGAAGAGGAGAGUGGAAUUCCUGGUGUAGCGGUGAAAUGCGCAGAUAUCAGGAAGAACACCUAUGGCGAAGGCAGCUCUCUGGGACGGUACUGACGCUGAGACGCGAAAGCGUGGGAAGCGAACAGG
rnacentral:rRNA from 1 species